UCAAGAUAUAAAGGGCGCACGGAGAAUGCCUUGGCACCAGAAGCCGAAGAAGGACGUAAUAAGCUGCGAAAAGCUUCGGGUAGGCGCAAAUAGCCUAUGAUCCGAAGAUAUCCGAAUGGGGAAACCCACUGAAUAGCAUUCAGUAUCACAUCAUGAAUAAAAUAGUGAUGUGAAGGGAGACCCGGGGAACUGAAACAUCUAAGUACCCGGAGGAAAAGAAAGAAUAAUCGAUUUUCCAAGUAGCGGCGAGCGAAAGGGAAAGAGCCCAAACCUAUGGGGGCAACUCUGUAGGGGUUUAGGACCAACAUAAAGCUUAUCGAGUUUAGCUGAACUACCUGGGAAGGUAGACCAAAGGAGGUAAAAGUCCUGUAAGCGAAAAAGGAGAGAAGCGGUUGGGAUCCAGAGUACCACAGGACACGAGGAAUCCGGUGGGAAGAGGGGAGGACCACCUCCCAAGGCUAAAUACUAACUGGUGACCGAUAGAGGAGAAGUACCGUGAGGGAAAGGUGAAAAGGACCCCGGGAGGGGAGUGAAAUAGAACCUGAAACCGUGUGCCUACAAGCAACUGGAGAGCAUUUACGCUUGACAGUGUGCUUUUUGUAGAACGAGCCAGCGAGUUGCGGUAUGAAGCGAGGUUAAGUACUUAAGGUACGGAGCCGAAGGGAAACCGAGUCUGAAAAGGGCGAAAAAGUUUCAUGCUGCAGACCCGAAACCAGGUGACCUAUCCAUGGACAGGGUGAAGUUGGAGUAAAAUCCAGUGGAGGCCCGAACCCACUUGUGUUGAAAAACGAGGGGAUGAGCUGUGGAUAGCGGAGAAAUUCCAAUCGAACUUGGAGAUAGCUGGUUCUCCCCGAAAUAGCUUUAGGGCUAGCCUCGGCAGGAGACCUUUGGAGGUAAAGCGCUGAAUGGGCUAGGGGCUGACAACAGUUACUGAACCCUAUCAAACUGAGAAUGCCAAAGGAUAGAAAGCCGGGAGUCAGACUGCGGGUAAUAAGGUCCGUAGUCAAAAGGGAAACAGCCCAGAUCAUCAGUUAAGGUCCCAAAGUGUAAGUUAAGUGGAAAAGGAAGUGGGAUCUCAAAGACAACCAGGAUGUUGGCUUAGAAGCAGCCACACAUUAAAAGAGUGCGUAAUAGCUCACUGGUCGAGAGGUUUUGCGCCGAAGAUGUCCGGGGCUAAAACUUACCACCGAAACUAUGGGAUUAGCAAUAAUCGGUAGGGGAGCAUGCUGCAUUGGGAGAAGCAGUACCGGAAGGAACUGUGGACGAUGCAGGAGAGAGAAUGCUGGCAUAAGUAGCGAGAGACAGGUGAGAAUCCUGUUCGUCGAAGACCUAAGGAUUCCUGAGGAAGGUUCGUCCGCUCAGGGUCAGUCGGGACCUAAGGCGAGGCCGGAAGGCGUAGCUGAUGGACAAUCGGUUGAUAUUCCGAUACCACUGCUCAACGUUAUGAGAGAAGGGGUGACACAGGAGGAUAGCUCCAGCACACGAAUGGAAAAGUGUGCUCAAGCAUCAAGCCGGGCAUACAGGGAAAACCGUAUGCCACAGUAGGUAAGGUGUGAUGAGGAAGAAGAAAGCUUCGGCUUUCUUAAGGGAGUGAGUUCAAACUGUCGAGAAAAGCCUCUAUCGAGGAGAGGAGUGCCCGUACCGUAAACCGACACAGGUAGGUGAGGAGAAGAUCCUAAGACGAUCGAGAGAACCCUUGUUAAGGAACUCGGCAAAUCGACCCCGUAACUUAGGGAGAAGGGGAGCCUAUAGAGAUAUAGGCCGCAGAGAAAAGGCCCAAGCGACUGUUUAGCAAAAACACAGGUAUCUGCUAAAGCGAAAGCUAAAGUAUAGGUGCUGACGCCUGCCCAGUGCUGGAAGGUUAAGGGGAAAUGUUAUCGCAAGAGAAGCAUCGAACCGAAGCCCCAGUGAACGGCGGCCGUAACUAUAACGGUCCUAAGGUAGCGAAAUUCCUUGUCGGGUAAGUUCCGACCCGCACGAAUGGCGUAACGACUUGGGCACUGUCUCAACAAGGGACUCGGCGAAAUUGUAGUACCGGUGAAGAUGCCGGUUACCCGCGAUUGGACGGAAAGACCCCGUAGAGCUUUACUGUAGCUUAACAUAGAAUUUGGGCAUUGUCUGUACAGAAUAGGUGGGAGGCAAAGAGCUAUUGCCGUCAGGUAAUAGGGAGUCGACGUUGGGAUACCACCCUGAUGAUGCAAAAGUUCUAACCGGGACUCAUAAACUGAGAACGGGACAAUGUUAGGUAGGCAGUUUGACUGGGGCGGUCGCCUCCUAAAGAGUAACGGAGGCGUCCAAAGGUUGCCUCAAAGCGGAUGGAAAUCGCUUGAAAGAGUAUAAAAGCAGAAGGCAGCCUGACUGCGAGACAGACAAGUCGAGCAGGGACGAAAGUCGGGUUUAGUGAUCCGGUGGCACUGAGUGGAAGGGCCAUCGCUCAACGGAUAAAAGCUACCUCGGGGAUAACAGGCUUAUCUCCCCCAAGAGUCCAUAUCGACGGGGAGGUUUGGCACCUCGAUGUCGGCUCGUCGCAUCCUGGGGCUGAAGUAGGUCCCAAGGGUUGGGCUGUUCGCCCAUUAAAGCGGCACGCGAGCUGGGUUCAGAACGUCGUGAGACAGUUCGGUCCCUAUCCGUCGCGGGCGCAGGAAAUUUGAGAGGAGCUGUCUUUAGUACGAGAGGACCGAGAUGGACGGACCAAUGGUGCACCAGUUGUCACGCCAGUGGCACAGCUGGGUAGCUAAGUCCGGGACUGAUAAACGCUGAAAGCAUCUAAGCGUGAAGCAGGCCUCAAGAUAAGAUUUCCCAUGGAUUAGUCCGGUAAGACCCCUCAAAGAGAAUGAGGUAGAUAGGCUGAAGGUGUAAGCAUGGCAACAUGUUAAGCUGAACAGUACUAAUUGGUCGAGGGCUUGACCAG
rnacentral:rRNA from 1 species